AGUGAGGUCAGCUAAUUAAGCUCUUGGGCCCAUACCCCAAAUAUGUAGGUUAAACUCCCUCCUUCACUA
rnacentral:tRNA from 4 species